ACUACCCUGGUGGNACGGGAAUACUCUCUCCGAAACUGAGGCUAAWCCCCGAUAACGCUUUGCUCCUGGAAGGGGCAAAGCCGGAAACGCUCCGGCGCCACAGGAUGCGGCUGCGGUCGAUUAGGUAGACGGUGGGGUAACGGCCCACCGUGCCCAUAAUCGGUACGGGUUGUGAGAGCAAGAGCCCGGAGACGGAAUCUGAGACAAGAUUCCGGGCCCUACGGGGCGCAGCAGGCGCGAAACCUUUACACUGUACGAAAGUGCGAUAAGGGGACUCCGAGUGUGAAGGCAUAGAGCCUUCACUUUUGUACACCGUAAGGUGGUGCACGAAUAAGGACUGGGCAAGACCGGUGCCAGCCGCCGCGGUAAUACCGGCAGUCCGAGUGAUGGCCGAUCUUAUUGGGCCUAAAGCGUCCGUAGCUGGCUGAACAAGUCCGUUGGGAAAUCUGUCCGCUUAACGGGCAGGCGUCCAGCGGAAACUGUUCAGCUUGGGACCGGAAGACCUGAGGGGUACGUCUGGGGUAGGAGUGAAAUCCUGUAAUCCUGGACGGACCGCCGGUGGCGAAAGCGCCUCAGGAGAACGGAUCCGACAGUGAGGGACGAAAGCUAGGGUCUCGAACCGGAUUAGAUACCCGGGUAGUCCUAGCUGUAAACGAUGUNCCGCUAGGUGUGGCGCAGGCUACGAGCCUGCGCUGUGCCGUAGGGAAGCCGAGAAGCGGACCGCCUGGGAAGUACGUCUGCAAGGAUGAAACUUAAAGGAAUUGGCGGGGGAGCACUACAACCKGAGGAGCCUGCGGUUUAAUUGGACUCAACGCCGGACAUCUCACCAGCCCCGACAGUAGUAAUGACGGUCAGGUUGAUGACCUUACCCGAGGCUACUGAGAGGAGGUGCAUGGCCGCCGUCAGCUCGUACCGUGAGGCGUCCUGUUAAGUCAGGCAACGAGCGWGACCCGCACUCCUAAUUGCCAGCAGUACCCUUUGGGUAGCUGGGUACAUUAGGUGGACUGCCGCUGCCAAAGCGGAGGAAGGAACGGGCAACGGUAGGUCAGUAUGCCCCGAAUGGGCUGGGCAACACGCGGGCUACAAUGGUCGAGACAAUGGGAAGCCACUCCGAGAGGAGGCGCUAAUCUCCUAAACUCGAUCGUAGUUCGGAUUGAGGGCUGAAACUCGCCCUCAUGAAGCUGGAUUCGGUAGUAAUCGCGUGUCAGCAGCGCGCGGUGAAU
rnacentral:rRNA from 1 species